rnacentral:lncRNA from 1 species
CUUGAUAUCGUACACCAUGGGAAAGUACAUAUUGAUCAAAUCAAAGAACCCAACUUGAGUAUCAGGCAAACUCCUGCAAGUCAAAAGCUUAAGCAAGUACCCAAAGUCGUAUCCACUAUGAAAGGUGACCCAAUGCACAUCAUCAUUCAGCACAAUCCCAGACGACAUCAAAAGCUCACCAAACUGCUUCACAUCAAUACCCUUCUCACUAUUCUUCUUAAAAUCAAUUCCGCACUGGUGCAACAACUCGAUUGAAUCACUAGCAAAGAUAUCCUCGCUAAUAUUAAACUCGCGGAAAUUGAACUGCCAAAUGCAAUAGUUGUCAGUUCCACAAGUGGGAAGAUUCCCAUUCUCAUCCGAAAAAGUGAGACCCAAUUGGAUCAAUUUCAACAUAUCCACAUUAUCUUUCAAAGUUUGGUAGUUAUAAUCGUUUAUAUUCUUGAAAGUUCCGACAGGGCGUAGAACUACACCAGGGAACUCAGUAUCCAUAGCCACAUAAUUGUAAGAAUCAACAAUUUCACGGAUCAAAGCAAACUCUUCUUCUAGAUUAUCGUUCCACACUUCUCGAAUUUGAAUUGAAUCACCUUUGGGCAAAACCGACAUUUCCAGUAGACUAAAUCAAAGCGACAAAUACUACCAAACUCAGAUCUGUGAACAAAACAUAAGCACAUCCAAAUUCCAAACCUUAAAAACUGAAGCUCCGAGCUGAGUUUCAAAAACGGUCGCGUUUCGAUGUAGGAAGCAGAUCUGAAACAAAAGCAAAGUAAAAGACGAAGUCAGAUGAUUUGAACUUUAGGAGUUCGAAACGAAACCUAGAAAGAAGUUGAAAAAGGAAAGGAGAAGAGAUCUGACCUUGGAUUUGUAAAAUCGGACCUUGUAAAUAACAGAUCUAGAGCUUGUCAACAGUGAUUCGUGCCCGACUGAGGCGAGUGCUUUCGGUCAACUAAUCAGAGAGAGAGGAAUGGAACGAAAACGCGGACGAGGUUCUAGCCCUUUACUUCUGGGCGCUUCUUAAAGACUAGAAAGGAGAGGACAUUGGUUAAAGGAGGAAAGUGAUACAGCCACGGAUGGACAAUAUCAAAAACGACGGCGUGUUCUUUGGGAGGAGGUUUGAAUCCGCUGUCGUUUUAACUGUGCUUUUCCAGUCACCUAUGAAUCGCUAAAAUCUGAUUGGGCAAUUUUUUAGUUUCGGCUGAUUGACAAGGAGAGAGAAAAUCGUUUCGACUGACACUGAAAUGUACUAGAAAAGGUAUAAAUCUUGCCACGUUGGUAUCCAAACAAGAUUUUUUUACCCAUUUAAUUUUAAAUAUAUAUAUUUAUUUAUAUAGGUAUGGGAUACUUAUUUUUUAUAAAUUAAUAAAAAUUUCAACGAAAGAAAUCAAAUAAGUUAAAUUUUUAUUUAUUUUGAUAAUAUAAUAAGUAAUAUAAAAAAAUUUUAAAAAGUAUAUACAUGUUUAUUAUAAUAAUGGUUAUAUAUUUUUAUUCAGUUCUGUAUAAUCGUACACAAAUAAACAUAUUAGAUUAAAACAUGAAAUGUGAUAUUUUUUCAAAUAUAUAUUCAACUCUAAAAAAAAAUGAUGUAUUUUAUAUGUUAUUACAAAUAUAUUAUUAACUUUUUCACUAAGAUCGUAAUUUUUUUUAUUAAAUUACAGUAAUAAUUAUUUAUUACAUUUAUAUAAUCAAUUAUUAUAUUUUAAACAAAUAAAUAAUUAAUUAUAAUUUAAUUAAACAAUCAAAUCCAUCAUUAAAUAAUCAUAUAAUAAAUUAUAAUUUAAUUAAACAAUUAAACCCACACAAAAUAAAACUUGAACCUAAAACCUUAAAAUUCUAAGACCUCCUUGCCCAAAGCCUCAUUGUCAGCAACAUCGUAAGUUGAAUCAGUAAAAACCCUAAAAGAACGAUAGCUUUAACAAGCCCACAAGAAUACAAAACAUUCUUUCCCAAUAAAACCAAAGCGAACUGAAUCAUAAGUGAAAUAGCCUGCAUUGCUUUGCAGGUAUUGAACAAGAAAACUAAUUUCCACAGGAUAUGAAGGCAUUGACAUCAAAGCCAGUAGCAUUUAGACUACAUUUUUUCACAAGGAGAAGUAACUAAGCAAGCACAAUAAUUAAUAUCUAUGAUCCUGUGGAAAUGUUUAACAUAAUUGUGCCGAUGCUGGAAAGCAAGUUCAUAACUCAUUGAACAAGCACGGCAAAUUGUCAUCCAAAUCAAUGAUAUAUGAAAUUUUAAUGAUAUUUGUGAUAAUUUUCACUAUAUCCAAUGUAAUACCAAAAAUAAAGAACAAACCUGAAGAGGAGUUCCAGUCAAAAGCGUGCAGUGGCUACUGGUAUUCUGCUUCAAUGAAUAGAAACAAAUCUGAAUCCUUAUCUUGGGCCGAUGACCUUCAUAAACGAUCUACACAAUGAAUCAAGCAUUAGCAAAAAAACACACUUAAGAAGUACCAUACAGACUCAAUGAGCAACAAGAUUUCACCAUGCGCUGCCUCUUUAUUGGCUUCAAUGAUGCUGUGUCCAAGUUAAUCAUCUCAUAGGACGUUAGAAGGACAUAAACUUUUAUCCUAUCUUGCUUGCUUUCACAAGCAAUUGGCCAGACAUCCAUUUCUUGAUCUUCUCAUGACAUUUUAGGAUGAUAAAAUUCAUAUUCCCCUAUAAUUGCACGAGCUUGGGCAGAGCCAACAUACAUAACCUGCAUCAUGAGUAUACUCAAUUAAAAUAGCAUAUACUAGUAAUUUGAUAUUUUUCAUGUACAUACAACAUAUAUUUGGGGAGAGCCCAUGUUACAAACUUUUGUUCCCAGUUCCAUAAUGUUGAAAGUGGAGCUAAUACCAAAUGAGGAGCAAUGUUCUCUUCAAAAAGAGUUGCUAAGAAAGAACUACUCUGGAUGGUUCUACCUGCAGGCAAACAAAGGCAAAGCAUUUGCAGCCCCAUUAUCAAGAUAGAAUCUCUCAAACUCCUUAAAAAAGCAACCUCUCUUCAAACAGGACUUACCAAAGCCCAUCUCAUCAGCAAGAAUUGCAUCUGUUUGUUAGGACCAAGAAAAACGCAAGUUCAACCCUUCAAGCUGGUAAGGAUGCAGUGAGCCUAGACUUCCUUGAAAAUGCUGUCAGCAAUUAAUAAUGACCAAAAUAUGUGUGAGCAUGCUAAAACUGGUGCUAGAUUGAGGGGGAAAAAAAUCAGAAUGUACCUCCAGAGAGAAAUUCAGGACAAUGGUCAUACUGUUGAAAUUCCUUUGAUUUCUACUUGGACUCAACUGCAUCUUGAAGGCUGCUUUUUUGCUUACUAGCAGAUGAUUUAUGAGAUUUGGACCGAAUUUUAUUAAAUCAUUUAAUUUCAGGUUGAAAUGCAGUUAUUUCUGAUUUGAACUCCCAAAACAUUCAUCAUAAGGAAGUUCUUUAUACUUUACAAGGUACUCCUUAUCAUCAUCUCCCAUGAAGAAUUCAGUAUGCAUAUCAGACUUAUACAUCAGCUACUGAAUCAAUACUCAAAACAGCACUAAAAAACACCAAUCCAGAUUUACAAACAGUAAAGUAUAUCACUAUCCAGAACUCAGAUGAUAUCACAAAUGAGGAUGAUCACAGUAUGUCUGCAAGUUCUAACUUUAACUAUGAGAUAAAAUCACACUUCUUUUGCAAGCCCUUAGUACUUUUCAAUUAAUGAUGUCAUUUAUACCCCGCAAAAAAAUAAAAUAAAUAAAAAAUAAGAACACAAACAAAAUUUAAAACUAAAAAACCAAAAGAAAGAGAGACAGACAGAGAGAGAGAGAGAGAGAGAGAGAGAGAGAGAGCAAAACCCAACCAGCAGAGAACCUUCAAAGUGAAACUAUCAUCCAGAUCGAAAUCAAAUGAUUAAAAUCAAGGGCAUACAACUUAUAUAUAUAGAUAUUUAUACCUUCAAGUGAAACUAUCAUCCAAAUCAAAAUACAUACAUACAUGUGUGUGUGUGUGUGUGUGUGUGUGUAUAAGAAAGUUUUAGAUAGGAGAUACUGCAAGCAAGAAUUCGAUCAACUGUAGUCACAAAAACGGUCAACUCUGUGUGCGUGUGCCUGUAAUACAUGAAACAAGCACUCACUUAAAUGGUUAACUCUACAUUCAAAUUCGUCGUACCAAUACCACAAAUAACAAUAAAAAAAUUCUGUGCCACAGGAAAGGAGAACAAAAUUUCGAGUAUUCUAGUUCUCUGAACCACAUCUUACAAAACAUCAAGAGGUAAUCCUUCUUUUAUUCCAAUGAUAUGCAUCAAGCUUGCUGAGAGAACAGCUAAUAACAUUCACAUUAAAAAAUGCUCAGGAAAAAAUAUCAGAACAUAACAUAACAUAGUAUAACAACACCAUAUGCACCAUAUAUGAACUCAAAUGCAGAAAAACAGAAAUCCCCCAUCUAAGUGCAUAAAUUCCAAAGUUAUAAAUCUCCAAAAAGAAAGCAAUAUCCAAUUGUGGAAGAUGCAAUUCCUCUCCAUAGAGAAGCAUCCUAUGUUAUUCAUAGUAAUAGAGAGAUGACAAACAAGUUUCUUAUGCUCAUACCAAAAUAAUAGGAGCAAGACCUCAAAGAGUUCAAUCCACAUAGGCCAUAUUCUACAACACACAAAAACAGUUAUAUAAUAAUUCAAAAGGAUCCCUACUGGCAACGGAAAUACCCUAAAAACAAAACUUUCUCUUUACCGGUGACUAUACUGCUGUUACAGCUGGGUUUUAAAAUGAUCUAAAUAAAAUGAUCAACUGCAUGAACAUGACGAAUGGGUAGAAAUUAACAUAAACAAACUGUUAAAAAGGUAAAUGUUGUGCAACCGAGGAGAUAGAUGAAGAGGAUAAAAACAAAGUCAAUAAAUUGCAAAUGGUUAAAAUUAUUAUUGAAACACUAACUGCGUAAUUUACACUGGAAUUCAACUAGAAAACCAAUUAAAGGCUUCAGUUACAAUGCAAGCAAAAGAGAAAAGUCACAACUAAAUCAACAAUCUUUUUUUGCCAAUGUAUACAAAGAAAAUAAAAUCUUACACUCAAGUAGUCUACAUCCAUCAAUCUUUUCCCAAUUAUUUUUCUUCUAAUUAGUGUUCUGUCCACUCUCGACUCCUAGGCCAUACAGUGCACCUGCAUAUUUCUCUGUCGAGCCAUUGAAAAAGUUCUCUCUCAACUUCCUAAACGUGCAUGAUGUGAGCAAGCUAUCUGAGCCAGCUUGAUGACACGCACCAACUCUUUCCACUUCCAACAACUCUGCAAGCUUGUUCAAACCACCAUGAAGGCUAUUACAAAACUUCAUCAUAUGCUUGAUAUCGUACACCAUGGGAAAGUACAUAUUGAUCAAAUCAAAGAACCCCGCUUGAGUAUCAGGCAAACUUCUGCAAGUCAAAAGCUUAAGCAAGUAUCCGAAGUCAUAUCCACUAUGAAAGGUGACCCAAUGCACAUCAUCAUUCAGCACAAUCCCAGACGACAUCAAAAGCUCACCAAACUGCUUCACAUCAAUACCCUUCUCACUAUUCUUCUUAAAAUCAAUUCCGCACUGGUGCAACAACUC